UCUCUUUCCAGUUCUUCCCAGAAUUGGUAAAAGCUGGGUUGAGAGG
rnacentral:pre_miRNA from 1 species